UACGUAGGCAGCGAGCGUUGUUCGGAGUUACUGGGCGUAAAGGGUGUGUAGGCGGUUCUUUUAAGUUUGGUGUGAAAUCUCCCGGGCUCAACCGGGAGGGUGCGCCGAAUACUGAGGGACUAGAGUGCGGGAGAGGAAAGUGGAAUUCCUGGUGUAGCGGUGAAAUGCGUAGAUAUCAGGAGGAACACCGGUGGUGUAGACGGCUUUCUGGACCGUAACUGACGCUGAGACACGAAAGCGUGGGUAGCAAACAGG
rnacentral:rRNA from 1 species